rnacentral:rRNA from 1 species
UACACGACUCUCGGCAACGGAUAUCUUGGCUCUCGCAUCGAUGAAGAACGUAGCGAAAUGCGAUACUUGGUGUGAAUUGCAGAAUCCCGUGAACCAUCGAGUCUUUGAACGCAAGUUGCGCCCGAGGCCAUCCGGCCGAGGGCACGCCUGCCUG